GCAGGAAUGGCGGAACUGGCAGACGCACUUGAUUUAGGCUCAAGGUAUUGGGGGUUCAAAUCCCUCUUCCUGUA
rnacentral:tRNA from 1 species